rnacentral:tRNA from 1 species
GAGGGUAUAGCUCAAGUGGUAGAGUUCGUGUUUAGCAUGCACAAGUCCUGGGUUCGAGCCCCAGUAUUUCCG